CCGGGUUGCUCUAGGGCGGAGCCCAGGCCUGGAGAAGAGAAGGAAGGAAAUCUGCCGGAAGUAGUCGCCCUAGAACAGGCGGCGGAGCUCUCCGCGCCGCGUAGCCGAACCUUUUAGAGACCACGUGGGGACGGGGAAGCCCGCGCAGGAGACCUAGGAAUUAUCAUAGUGUCCCCUUAAAAUACAAGGAUUCUGGGCAAUCUGGGAUGCAUCAAUGCCCUACUAGAUCUGUAUCUCAAAGAGAUACAAAGAAAUGAUAAGCAGGAUGAUUUCAGAAAAACCUGGAAGCAUUUAUAUGAACUGAUGCAAAGUAAAAUUAGCAGGAUAAAGGAGAACGUGGUAUAGCCUAUAUCAAAUUGCUAAUAUCUUGAGGAAAGAAGAAAAUUUGGAACUCAAAUUUUUAAAAAAUGUUUAAAUUCUUAUAUGUAAAUGGAGAAAAUAAAUUAUUAUUAAAGUUUUAAAAAGUACAACUUUGCCAAAUUCUUGCUC
ensembl:lncRNA